rnacentral:lncRNA from 1 species
UUAUUAAAUAGUCUUUAUAAAUAAGGAUUCCAAAUUGAUGGCAAGACAGGUAAAGGAUACCAUGUAGUAAACAUCAUCUUACAUUUGUUUAUAUAAUUAAAAGUUCAUUUAUGGUAACAUUGCACAUGUUUGUCUUUAUUUUAUUUCUAUUCAACAACAUAUUCAGUACAAAUCAUACUUAUCCAAUGUUUAUGUUCAAUGACUAUAGUAAACACCUUUAAGAUAUAAAUAUUGUC